GGAAUCUGUAUUUGGAGGCUAAUAUCCACUUAUAAGUGAAUAUGUGUCGUUCAUGUCUUUUUGGCACUGCGUUACCUUACUCAGGAUGAUAUUGUCAAAUUCCAUUCAUUUGCCUGCAAGUUUCAUGAUGUCUUUGUUUUUAAUAGAUGCAUAGUAUUCCAUUGUGUAGAUGUCAACAUUUUCUUUAUUCUUUCUCCAGUUGAGAGAUACUGGCCUUCAUGUUGGAGACUUUUCAUGGAGGUCUCUGAUCCAGCUAGCUGUGGAGGUCCAGAGGAAGGGGAGGAAACUCAGGAAAGGAGGGGGAACGGCUUCUGCUGCCCUGCUGCUGGUGCUGAUCUGCUUCUGCUCCUGCCUCUGCCAGUUAGGUUGCCCAGGCCAGCUGAGCCACCUGGAGAGUGACAAGCUGGAAAAGGGUACACAGGAGGUUCUGGUGCAUUUUCUGGAGAGCAAAUCUCUUCCCCAAGCAGCAGUGUUCCAGGUCUUAUGACAGAAGAUCUCAGACGUUGGAGUAAUUCCUGCAUACCUUUAAUCCUUCCGGAUAGGAUUCUUAAAUACACUUUUGGGAGUGGUCAGGGUCUGACAGCAGGUGCUUCUUAUUGGUUUGGACUGAGAGCUUUGGAAUACCUCAUCUAUAUAUUUGGGGGCAUAGUUAUGCAUCCAUGUGAAUUAACUGUCUUGAGGCUAUGUGACCUGUGGUCACAAGUUCACCUGUGGUGGAGGUGUUUGGUGCAUUGUCCUAAGUGACUGAUCCAUCUCAAUCUUCUCUACAGAGGGGAUUGUGGUCUACAAGAGAAGGGCCUGAUCUCCUGGAAGAUUUAAAGUGCUCCCACUGUCCCUUUGGGUUCCUGGGGUUCGACCUUUCUUGAUGAGGAAUCAAGUUACAAAGGACCAGGUAGUAAGUCGUUCAAUCAUUCUGAGGCACUAGUCUUCACUAGCUGGAGUAGAAACACAUUGCCAAUUUAAAUAUGGAUGCCGUAGUCUGAGAUGGUCUGAAGGCAUCUUAUUAAAGUGUUAUUUGCCAAGGGUUUUAUUACUGUGAAGAGAC
ensembl:lncRNA